AGUGAACGCUGGCGGUAGGCCUAACACAUGCAAGUCGAACGGCAGCACAGUAAGAGCUUGCUCUUACGGGUGGCGAGUGGCGGACGGGUGAGGAAUUCAUCGGAAUCUACUUUUUCGUGGGGGAUAACGUAGGGAAACUUACGCUAAUACCGCAUACGACCUACGGGUGAAAGCAGGGGAUCUUCGGACCUUGCGCGAUUGAAUGAGCCGAUGUCGGAUUAGCUAGUUGGCGGGGUAAAGGCCCACCAAGGCGACGAUCCGUAGCUGGCCUGAGAGGAUGAUCAGCCACACUGGAACUGAGACACGGUCCAGACUCCUACGGGAGGCAGCAGUGGGGAAUAUUGGACAAUGGGCGCAAGCCUGAUCCAGCCAUACCGCGUGGGUGAAGAAGGCCUUCGGGUUGUAAAGCCCUUUUGUUGGGAAAGAAAAGCAGCAGGUUAAUACCCCGCUGUUCUGACGGUACCCAAAGAAUAAGCACCGGCUAACUUCGUG
rnacentral:rRNA from 1 species